rnacentral:rRNA from 1 species
AACGAACGCUGGCGGCAUGCCUAACACAUGCAAGUCGAACGAAACCUUCGGGUCUUGUGGCGCACGGGUGCGUAACGCGUGGGAACCUGCCCUUAGGUUCGGAAUAACUCCCCGAAAGGGGUGCUAAUACCGGAUAAUGUCUUCGGACCAAAGAUUUAUCGCCUUUGGAUGGACCCGCGUUGGAUUAGCUAGUUGGUAGGGUAAAAGCCUACCAAGGCGACGAUCCAUAGCUGGUCUGAGAGGAUGAUCAGCGACACUGGGACUGAGACACGGCCCAGACUCCUACGGGAGGGAGCAGUGGGGAAUGGUGGAACGUGGGGGAAGUGCUGAACCUGCUCGGAUCGGUGAAUGAUGUAGGUCUUAGGGAUGUAAAGUGCUUGUAACUAGGAUCAUCAUGACGGUACCUAGACAAUAAGCCCCGGCUAACUACGUG